rnacentral:snRNA from 1 species
AUCGGUUUGUUGUCCGACCC